rnacentral:rRNA from 1 species
AGGGUGCAGGGCGGAUGCCUUGGCACUAGGAGCCGAUGAAGGACGUGAUAAGCUGCGAUAAGCUUCGGGGAGUUGCACGUAAACUUUGAUCCGAAGAUUUCCGAAUGAGGAAACUCACUUAGAGUAAUGUCUAAGUAUCAUUAAGUGAAUACAUAGCUUAAUGAGGGGAACUCAGGGAACUGAAACAUCUAAGUACCUGAAGGAAGAGAAAGAAAUUCGAUUCCGUAAGUAGCGGCGAGCGAACGCGGAUUAGCCCAAACCAAUAAAGUUUUCUUUAUUGGGGUUGCGGACAUAUCAUAACGAAGAGGUAUCGUAAUUGAAGAGGUUUGGAAAGACCCACCACAGAAGGUAAUAGUCCUGUAUGUUAAACGAGAAGACUUUAGAUAUGAUCCAGAGUACCACGGGACACGUGAAACCCUGUGGGAAGCAGGAGGGACCACCCUCCAAGGCUAAAUACUACCUAGUGACCGAUAGCGUAUAGUACCGUGAGGGAAAGGUGAAAAGAACCCCGGGAGGGGAGUGAAAUAGAACCUGAAACCCUGCACUUACAAGCUGUGGAAGCACAUUUCUUGUGUGACCGCGUACUUUUUGUAGAACGGGCCAACGAGUUACGUUAAGUAGCAAGGUUAAGCACUUAAGGUGUGGAGCCGUAGCGAAAGCGAGUUUUAACUGAGCGUUCAGUUACUUGACGUAGACCCGAAACCGGGCGACCUACCCAUGAGCAGGAUGAAGCGAAAGUAAAAUUUCGUGGAGGUCCGAACCCACGAGCGUUGAAAAGCUCGGGGAUGACUUGUGGGUAGCGGUGAAAUUCCAAUCGAGCCCGGAGAUAGCUGGUUCUCCCCGAAAUAGCUUUAGGGCUAGCCUCAAGGUGAGAGAUACGGAGGUAGAGCACUGAAUGUCCUAGGGGGUAUUGCACCUACCGAAGACUAUCAAACUCCGAAUGCCGUCAUCUUAUACUUGGGAGUCAGACUGUGGGUGAUAAGAUUCAUAGUCGAAAGGGCAACAGCCCAGAUCGUCAGCUAAGGUCCCUAAAUGUAAGUUAAGUGGUAAAGGAUGUGGGAUUGCACAGACAACCAGGAUGUUGGCUUAGAAGCAGCCACUCAUUCAAAGAGUGCGUAAUAGCUCACUGGUCGAGUGAUCCUGCGCCGAAGAUUUCCGGGGCUAAAACUUACUACCGAAGCUACGGCAUCAGUAAUGAUGGGUAGGGGAGCUUCCCAUACGGGUUGAAGCAUGACCGUAAGGACAUGUGGACAGUAUGGGAGUGAGAAUGUUGGCAUGAGUAGCGAGAUGUGGGUGAGAAUCCCACAGGCCGUAAACCCAAGGUUUCCAGGGGAAGGUUCGUCCGCCCUGGGUUAGUCGGGACCUAAGCUGAGGCCGAAAGGCGUAGGUGAUGGACAACAGGUUGAUAUUCCUGUACUACCGAUAACCGUUUGAGAGAAGGGAUGACACAGUAGGAUAAGCUAAGCACACUGUUGGUUAUGUGUGCCCAAGCAUUGAGGCAGUCAAAGUAGGCAAAUCCGCUUUGAUAAUGCUGGGAUGUGAUGGGGAGCGAAAUUUAGUAGCGAAGUAGCUGAUUUCACACUGUCAAGAAAAGUCUCUAUCGAGGUUAAAGGUACCCGUACCGCAAACCGACACAGGUGGGUGAGGAGAGUAUCCUAAGGCCAGCGAGAGAACUGUUGUUAAGGAACUCGGCAAAAUGACCCCGUAACUUAGGGAUAAGGGGUGCCACCAUCAGGUGGCCGCAGAGAAUAGGCCCAAGCGACUGUUUACCAAAAACAUAGGUUUCUGCUAAGUCGCAAGACGAUGUAUAGGAGCUGACGCCUGCCCGGUGCUGGAAGGUUAAGGGGAUCUGUUAGAGCAAUCGAAGCAGUGAACUUAAGCCCCAGUAAACGGCGGCCGUAACUAUAACGGUCCUAAGGUAGCGAAAUUCCUUGUCGGGUAAGUUCCGACCCGCACGAAAGGCGUAACGAUUUGGGCACUGUCUCAACAACAGACUCGGUGAAAUUGUAAUUCCGGUGAAGAUGCCGGAUACCUGCGACAGGACGGAAAGACCCCAUGGAGCUUUACUGUAGCUUGACAUUGGGUCUUGGUACUACAUGUACAGGAUAGGUGGGAGGCUUUGAAACCAGGACGCCAGUUUUGGCGGAGCCAUCCUUGGGAUACCACCCUUGUAGUACUGGGACUCUAACCAUAGGCCAUGAAUCUGGUCUUGGGACACUGUCAGGUGGGCAGUUUGACUGGGGCGGUCGCCUCCCAAAAGGUAACGGAGGCGCUCAAAGGUUCUCUCAGUACGGUCGGAAAUCGUACGUAGAGUGUAAAGGCAAAAGAGAGCUUGAUUGCAAGACAUACAGGUCGAGCAAGGAUGAAAAUCGGACUUAGUGAUCCGGUGGUUCUGCGUGGAAGGGCCAUCGCUCAACGGAUAAAAGCUACCCUGGGGAUAACAGGCUUAUCUCCCCCAAGAGUCCACAUCGACGGGGAGGUUUGGCACCUCGAUGUCGGCUCAUCACAUCCUGGGGCUGUAGUAGGUCCCAAGGGUUGGGCUGUUCGCCCAUUAAAGUGGUACGCGAGCUGGGUUCAGAACGUCGUGAGACAGUUCGGUCCCUAUCCGUCGCAGGCGUAGGAAAUUUGAGAAGACCUGUCCUUAGUACGAGAGGACCGGGAUGGACGUACCUCUGGUGUACCAGUUGUCCUGCCAAGGGCAUGGCUGGGUAGCUAUGUACGGAAUGGAUAAGCGCUGAAAGCAUCUAAGCGCGAAGCCAACUUCAAGAUAAGAUUUCCCACCGCAAGGGUAAGACCCCAGAAAGACUAUCUGGUUGAUAGGUCGAAGGUGUAAGUGCAGCAAUGUAUUUAGCUUAUCGAUACUAAUAGGUCGAGGACUUGACC